AAAUUGAAGAGUUUGAUCAUGGCUCAGAUUGAACGCUGGCGGCAGGCCUAACACAUGCAAGUCGAACGGUAACAGGAAGCAGCUUGCUGCUUCGCUGACGAGUGGCGGACGGGUGAGUAAUGUCUGGGAAACUGCCUGAUGGAGGGGGAUAACUACUGGAAACGGUAGCUAAUACCGCAUAAUGUCGCAAGACCAAAGAGGGGGACCUUCGGGCCUCUUGCCAUCGGAUGUGCCCAGAUGGGAUUAGCUUGUUGGUGGGGUAACGGCUCACCAAGGCGACGAUCCCUAGCUGGUCUGAGAGGAUGACCAGCCACACUGGAACUGAGACACGGUCCAGACUCCUACGGGAGGCAGCAGUGGGGAAUAUUGCACAAUGGGCGCA
rnacentral:rRNA from 1 species